CCUAAACUUCUUCCUACACAAGAGACUGUCAUUGUUCAAUCCAGAGAGGAUAGGAGUCAUCUGAAAUUAAUCUCAAGAAAUUAAGUAGAAGGAUAAUUUGUUAUGAGUCUCCUCGAUCAUAUCGAUGAGUAAAUCUGAAAAUCAGAAGAAGAAGAAGAAGAAAUAUUUCGAAGAAGCAACACUAGAGAUAGAGAAUAAGAGAUUCAAAUUAUGUAUUUCAUGCACAACCGAUUAAUUUCACAGCUUGAUUUUUGUUUCGAAGCAGAGAGGAAGCGAAGUUUGAUAUACGGACUAGGAAUAACUUAACCCUAAAUCGGAACUCAGAGAAAACAGAAACGAAACCUAGAUCGAAAUAAAACCCUAAAUCACCUGAAAGGUUAAAUUCCACCGCAAGCAAGCGUGACAUGUACACUAGCUCUAUUCAUCGUAAUCUGAGAGCAAAACCGGUUGACGCUUGAGGUCAAAGUCAAACAGAGCAACCGAUGAG